GCCCGCCCACUCCCCCACCAUCUUUCCCAUGUACACCUGCGAGGACUGCGAGGGCGACGUGACCUUCGGCUGCUUCGCUUCCGGUUUCUUCCCCCACCCGGCCCAGAUCUCCUGGGUGGGCGUGGCCUCCAACGCCACCCGGAACUUUCCGGAAGUGCAAAUGGCGGCCGGAAGUUUCGGGGCGAGCUCCCAGGUGACGCUGAGCGCCGAACUGGCCAAUGGGAAGUCGUUCCAGUGCCGGGUGCAGCACCGGGGCAAGAACUACGAGGAGGACAUUGUAGCCUGCCCCGUGCUCCCCACUCCGAACCUCUCCAUCUCCCUCCUGAGCGACCCCAACCAAGCCCACCCCGAGGACCCCCAGGUGUUCCUGCUGUGCCAGGUGCGCGGCCGCGGCGCCGGCGACGCCCAGCUCGCCUGGUUGGUCGACGGUCGCGUCACCGAGCUGGGGGCGGAGCUUUCCAGCUGCGAGGAGGGCGGGGCCGGACAUGAGGGGGCGGCGACGACGACGCUGAGCGGCCGCGCCAACGUCAGCCGGGAUUUGUGGGAUUCGGGCGCCACCUUCAGCUGCCGGGCGAGCCACGCCCACCUGGCCACGCCCCUGGAGGCCAACAUCAGCACCUACUGCACCGCCCCGGUCCCCACGCCGUCGGUGACGGUGCUGCCGCCGUCCCUGCAGGACCUUUACCUGUCCACCCACCCCAACCUCACCUGCGUGGUCGCCAAUGUCAAAUCCCCCGACGGCAUCGAGUUCACCUGGACCCGCUCAGGGGGCGUGGCCUCGGUGGGCGUGGCCACUUCCGGCCCCGCCCACAGGCUGCCCAACGGAUAUUACGUCAUCGAGAGCUUCCUGGGGAUCUGCGCCGAGGAUUGGAAUUCGGGCGAUGAGUUCACGUGCGAGGUGAAGGUGGGCGAGGAGACGCUGAGGGGCAGCGUGAAGAAGGACACAGGCGGCCGCGUGGUCCCUCCCAAGGUGUUCGUGUUCCCCCCUCCCGCCGAGGACUUGGCGCGCUCCGAGUCGGCCAUCUUGACCUGCCUGGCCAGCGGCUUCUUCCCGCGCGACGUCGUGGUCACGUGGAGCCACCAGGACGUCCCGGUGGCUGCUGGGAAAUUCUCGGUGCUGGGCCCGGUUCCGGACGCUCCGGAAGGUUCCGGAACGUUCUCGGUUUACUCCAAGCUGGCGGUGGCGGUGGAGGAGUGGAAGCGCGGCGAUGUCUUCUCCUGCGUGGUGGGACACGACGGCGUGGAGAUGAAGUUCAUCCAGAGGAGCGUCGACAAAUCCGCGGCCAGGCCGGCCAACGUCAACGUCUCCGUGGUUUUGGCCGAUUCCGACACCGUUUGUUAUUGAAUUUUCCAAAAAUAAACUCAAAAUUUCAAGAAUUAAAA